rnacentral:rRNA from 1 species
GUAGGGUGCGAGCGUUAAUCGGAAUUACUGGGCGUAAAGCGUGCGCAGGCGGUUCGUUAAGUCAGAUGUGAAAGCCCCGGGCUCAACCUGGGAACUGCAUUUGAAACUGGCGGGCUUGAGUAUGGCAGAGGGGGGUGGAAUUCCGCGUGUAGCAGUGAAAUGCGUAGAGAUGCGGAGGAACACCGAUGGCGAAGGCAGCCCCCUGGGCCAAUACUGACGCUCAGGCACGAAAGCGUGGGGAGCAAACAGGAUUAGAUACCCUGGUAGUCCACGCCCUAAACGAUGCUCACUAGGUGUUGGGGAAGCGAUUCCUUGGUACCGUAGCUAACGCGUGAAGUGAGCCGCCUGGGGAGUACGGCCKU